rnacentral:tRNA from 1 species
GAAGGUAUAGCUCAAGUGGUAGAGCAUAUGCAUAGCAUGUCCAGGGUCCUGGGUUCAAUCCCCAGCACCUCCU